UACUAGAGUAGCACUCGCAUAUCAAUAAGCGGAGGAAAAGGCUGCGGAACUGAACGACCACUACCUACGCUUAGGAUGUUGACGCGCGUGUGUGCGUGAGUCUAUACAUGACUCUGUGCAUAUCAAUAAGCGGAGGAAAAGAAACUAACAAGGAUUCCCCUAGUAACGGCGAGUGAAGCGGGAAGAGCUCAAAUUUGAAAUCUUAAAGGGUUUCCCUUUACGAAUUGUAGUUUAAAGAAGUGUUUUCUGUUGAGGUUUUGGUAAAAGUUCUUUGGAAUAGGACAUCAUAGAGGGUGAGAAUCCCGUAUUUGACCUUUACUUUCAACUUUGUGAUACACUUUCAAAGAGUCGGAUUGUUUGGGAAUGCAGUCCAAAAUGGGUGGUAAAUUUCAUCUAAAGCUAAAUAUUGGCGAGAGACCGAUAGCGAACAAGUACCGUGAGGGAAAGAUGAAAAGAACUUUGAAAAGAGAGUUAAACAGUACGUGAAAUUGUCAAAAGGGAAGCGUUUGACACCAGUGUUGUUUUUCUGAAAAUCAAUUAAAGAACUGUUUAUGCUAAGUUGUUUAGACUUUAUCAGCUAACUGUUUAGUUUUGAGCUUUUCUUUAAUGCACUUUUCAGUUAACAAGUCAACAUCAAUUUCUUUUGCUGUAAAAAAGCUUGAGGAAGGUGGCUUGAGAUUCGUCUUAAGUGUUUAUAGCCUCUUGCCUAUGCAGUCGGAGAGAUUGAGGUCUGCAGCGUAGAUCCUUCGGGGCUAAAUGCAUUUGUGCUAAGUUAUAGCAUUUUAUAGACAACUUGUUGACUAUGAUUUGUCUUGUAGCUUACUCGCUUAUGUUAUUUUACCUACGCUUAGGAUGUUGAUCUCUCACAGUCGAG
rnacentral:rRNA from 1 species